GUCACCUGACCAGAAAGGGCGCUGACUCUGCAACGGACUAGCAUAGGAGCAGCGUUGUUUGAGCGGGGGAUACAAUUGAACGGGUGUUUUCUUCCCCCUCGCGGUGACGCAUCUAUGCGUCAGUUCGCUCAGUGUCACGUGACGGACAGUUCCUAGCUCACGCCUCGCCUUCGCUGUAGUUCCAGCCAGGUCGUGCUUGUGGUGUUGAUGGAGGUGCUGAUGGCUAUGCGAAUGGUCCGUCUAAUCCCUCAAACUGAAAUGCCUCAAAUCUGCUGCGAAGCAGAAUCGCUCUUCAGAUACCCCGAGGCACAGAGCCAUGUGUGAAAAACCUCCAGGUGAUGGUGACCAGAGAAAAAUCCUUUUCAGUCAUGGCACUAUGGCAAUUCCAGAAGGGGUCACUUGACAGCAGGUCCAACCAUAUUUCUUUUGGGCCAGUUGAUGAAGGCCUUUUUGCUUGAUUGUAUUUUAAUCUCAUAUGGCUCAGGAAAUUUAAUUUGUUGUUUUGUGGAACUAUAUUAUGCUGUUCUUUUUUUUGUAUGUACAGCUUGUGUAUGUAUAGCUGUUUUAAACAAUGGUGCAAGCUGCUCUGGGAGUUUUUACUGAGAGGUAAGCACCAAAUAAAAAAAUAAAAUAAAAUCAUAUAUACAUA